UACGAAGGGAGCUAGCGUUGUUCGGAAUCACUGGGCGUAAAGCGCACGUAGGCGGAUGUGUCAGUCAGGGGUGAAAUCCCGGAGCUCAACUUCGGAACUGCCCUUGAUACAGCACGUCUUGAGUCCGGAAGAGGUGGGUGGAAUUCCUAGUGUAGAGGUGGAAUUCGUAGAUAUUAGGAAGAACACCAGUGGCGAAGGCGGCUUACUGGUCCGGAACUGACGCUGAGGUGCGAAAGCGUGGGGAGCAAACAGG
rnacentral:rRNA from 1 species